GAUGAACGCUGGCGGCGUGCCUAAUACAUGCAAGUCGAGCGAAUGGAUUAAGAGCUUGCUCUUAUGAAGUUAGCGGCGGACGGGUGAGUAACACGUGGGUAACCUGCCCAUAAGACUGGGAUAACUCCGGGAAACCGGGGCUAAUACCGGAUAACAUUUUGAACCGCAUGGUUCGAAAUUGAAAGGCGGCUUCGGCUGUCACUUAUGGAUGGACCAGGGUCGCAUUAGCUAGUUGGUGAGGUAACGGCUCACCAAGGCAACGAUGCGUAGCCGACCUGAGAGGGUGAUCGGCCACACUGGGACGGAGGAACGGACCAGACUCCUACGGGAGGCAGCAGUGGGGGAUCUUCCGCAAUGGACGGAAGUCUGACGGAGCAACGCCGCGUGAGUGAUGAAGGCUUUCGGGUCGUAAAACUCUGUUGUUAGGGAAGAACAAGUGCUAGUUGAAUAAGCUGGCACCUUGACGGUACCUAACCAGAAAGCCACGGCUAACUACGUGCCAGCCGCCGCGGUAA
rnacentral:rRNA from 1 species